UUGAAGGAGCUUGCUCCUGAUUGAUAAACAUUUGAGUGAGUGGCGGACGGGUGAGUAACACGUGGGUAACCUGCCCUAAAGUGGGGGAUAACAUUUGGAAACAGAUGCUAAUACCGCAUAAAACCUAACACCGCAUGGUGUAGGGUUGAAAGAUGGUUUCGGCUAUCACUUUAGGAUGGACCCGCGGUGCAUUAGUUAGUUGGUGAGGUAAAGGCUCACCAAGACCGUGAUGCAUAGCCGACCUGAGAGGGUAAUCGGCCACACUGGGACUGAGACACGGCCCAGACUCCUACGGGAGGCAGCAGUAGGGAAUCUUCCACAAUGGACGAAAGUCUGAUGGAGCAACGCCGCGUGAGUGAAGAAGGUUUUCGGAUCGUAAAACUCUGUUGUUGGAGAAGAAUGUAUCUGAUAGUAACUGAUCAGGUAGUGACGGUAUCCAACCAGAAAGCCACGGCUAACUACGUGCCAGCAGCCGCGGUAAUACGUAGGUGGCAAGCGUUGUCCGGAUUUAUUGGGCGUAAAGCGAGCGCAGGCGGUUUCUUAAGUCUGAUGUGAAAGCCUUCGGCUCAACCGAAGAAGUGCAUCGGAAACUGGGAAACUUGAGUGCAGAAGAGGACAGUGGAACUCCAUGUGUAGCGGUGAAAUGCGUAGAUAUAUGGAAGAACACCAGUGGCGAAGGCGGCUGUCUGGUCUGUAACUGACGCUGAGGCUCGAAAGCAUGGGUAGCAAACAGGAUUAGAUACCCUGGUAGUCCAUGCCGUAAACGAUGAGUGCUAGGUGUUGGAGGGUUUCCGCCCUUCAGUGCCGCAGCUAACGCAUUAAGCACUCCGCCUGGGGAGUACGACCGCAAGGUUGAAACUCAAAGGAAUUGACGGGGGCCCGCACAAGCGGUGGAGCAUGUGGUUUAAUUCGAAGCAACGCGAAGAACCUUACCAGGUCUUGACAUCCUUUGACCACUCUAGAGAUAGAGCUUUCCCUUCGGGGACAAAGUGACAGGUGGUGCAUGGUUGUCGUCAGCUCGUGUCGUGAGAUGUUGGGUUAAGUCCCGCAACGAGCGCAACCCUUAUUACUAGUUGCCAGCAUUUAGUUGGGCACUCUAGUGAGACUGCCGGUGACAAACCGGAGGAAGGUGGGGACGACGUCAAAUCAUCAUGCCCCUUAUGACCUGGGCUACACACGUGCUACAAUGGAUGGUACAACGAGUUGCGAGACCGCGAGGUUUAGCUAAUCUCUUAAAACCAUUCUCAGUUCGGAUUGUAGGCUGCAACUCGCCUACAUGAAGCCGGAAUCGCUAGUAAUCGCGGAUCAGCAUGCCGCGGUGAAUACGUUCCCGGGCCUUGUACACACCGCCCGUCACACCAUGAGAGUUUGUAACACC
rnacentral:rRNA from 1 species